rnacentral:rRNA from 1 species
UACGUAGGGUGCGAGCGUUAAUCGGAAUUACUGGGCGUAAAAGCGUGCGCAGGCGGCUUCGCAAGUCAGACGUGAAAUCCCCCGGGCUUAACCUGGGGAAUGGCGUUUGAAACUACGGAGCUGGAGUAUGGCAGAGGGGGGGUGGAAUUCCACGUGUAGCGGUGAAAUGCGUAGAUAUGUGGAGGAACACCGAUGGCGAAGGCAGCCCCCUGGGCCAAAUGACUGGACGCUCAUGCACGAAAGCGUGGGGAGCAACAG